rnacentral:rRNA from 1 species
CUUGUCUCAAAGAUUAAGCCAUGCAUGUCUAAGUUCACACUAUCUCACGGUGAAACCGCGAAUGGCUCAUUAAAUCAGUCGAGGUUCCUUAGAUGACACGAUCCUACUUGGAUAACUGUGGCAAUUCUAGAGCUAAUACAUGCUUACCAAGCUCCGACCCUCGUGGAAAGAGCGCUUUUAUUAGUUCAAAACCAAUCGCCGUUACUCUUCGGGGUGCGGCGUCCCCACUGGUGACUCUGGAUAACUUUGUGCUGAUCGCAUGGCCUUUUGCGCCGGCGACGCAUCUUUCAAAUGUCUGCCCUAUCAAAUGUCGAUGGUACGUGACAUGCCUACCAUGUUUGUAACGGGUAACGGGGAAUCAGGGUUCGAUUCCGGAGAGGGAGCAUGAGAAACGGCUACCACAUCCAAGGAAGGCAGCAGGCGCGCAACUUACCCACUCCCGGCACGGGGAGGUAGUGACGAAAAAUAACAAUACGGGACUCUUUCGAGGCCCCGUAAUUGGAAUGAGUACACUUUAAACCCUUUAACGAGGAUCUAUUGGAGGGCAAGUCUGGUGCCAGCAGCCGCGGUAAUUCCAGCUCCAAUAGCGUAUAUUAAAGUUGUUGCAGUUAAAAAGCUCGUAGUUGGAUCUCAGGCGCAGGCGGGUGGUCCGGCUCGCGCCGGCUCACUGCCCGUACUCCUGCCCUACCUGUCUGUCGGCUCUCUCCCGCGGGUGCUCUUCACUGAGCGUCCCGGGUGGCCGGCGCGUUUACUUUGAAAAAAUUAGAGUGUUCAAAGCAGGCCUCGGCUGCCUGAAUAAUGGUGCAUGGAAUAAUGGAAUAGGACCUCGGUUCUAUUUUGUUGGUUUUCGGAACUAGAGGUAAUGAUUAACAGGGACAAACGGGGGCAUUCGUAUUGCUGCGUUAGAGGUGAAAUUCUUGGAUCGCAGCAAGACGAGCUACUGCGAAAGCAUUUGUCAAGAAUGUUUUCAUUAAUCAAGAACGAAAGUCAGAGGCGCGAAGACGAUCAGAUACCGUCGUAGUUCUGACCAUAAACGAUGCCAGCUAGCGAUCCGCAGGAGUUGCUUCGAUGACUCUGCGGGCAGCUUCCGGGAAACCAAAGUUUUUGGGUUCCGGGGGAAGUAUGGUUGCAAAGCUGAAACUUAAAGGAAUUGACGGAAGGGCACCACCAGGAGUGGAGCCUGCGGCUUAAUUUGACUCAACACGGGAAAACUCACCCGGUCCGGACACUGUAAGGAUUGACAGAUUGAUAGCUCUUUCUUGAUUCGGUGGGUGGUGGUGCAUGGCCGUUCUUAGUUGGUGGAGCGAUUUGUCUGGUUAAUUCCGAUAACGAACGAGACCCUUGCCUAUUAAAUAGUUCGCCGAUUCCUUGAUGCGUCGGCGCAACUUCUUAGAGGGACGAGUGGCGUUUAGC